UGGUUCUGGCAUCGAUGAAGAACGCAGCGAAAUGCGAUAAGUAGUGUGAAUUGCAGAAUUCAGUGAAUCAUCGAAUCUUUGAACGCACAUUGCGCCCUUUGGUAUUCCUUAGGGCAUGCCUGUUCGAGCGUCAUUUAACCCCUCAAGCUCAGCUUGGUGUUGGGCGCCUGUUCCCCCCCGGGACUCGCCUCAAAUGCAUUGGCAGCCGGUACGUUGGCUUCGAGCGCAGCAGAAAAGCGCCUGGCGUCUGACGGUACGGGCUCUCCAGCAAGCCUUCUCUCCAAUUUUGACCUCGGAUCAGGUAGGGAUACCCGCUGA
rnacentral:misc_RNA from 1 species